rnacentral:rRNA from 1 species
UGGGGGAUAUUGCACAAUGGGCGAAAGCCUGAUGCAGCGACGCCGCGUGAGGGAAGACGGUCUUCGGAUUGUAAACCUCUGUCUUUGGGGAAGAAGAUGACGGUACCCAAAGAGGAAGCUCCGGCUAACUACGUGCCAGCAGCCGCGGUAAUACGUAGGGAGCGAGCGUUGUCCGGAAUUACUGGGUGUAAAGGGAGCGUAGGCGGGGAUGCAAGUUGGAUGUUUAAACUAUCGGCUCAACCGGUAAUUGCAACCAAAACUGCAACUCUUGAGUGAAGUAGAGGCAGGCGGAAUUCCUAGUGUAGCGGUGAAAUGCGUAGAUAUUAGGAGGAACACCAGUGGCGAAGGCGGCCUGCUGGGCUUUAACUGACGCUGAGGCUCGAAAGCGUGGGGAGCAAACAGG